CCUACGGGUGGCUGCAGUGAGGAAUAUUGGUCAAUGGGCGAGAGCCUGAACCAGCCAAGUCGCGUGAAGGAUGACGGCCCUACGGGUUGUAAACUUCUUUUGUCAGGGAGCAAUUGAGUCCACGUGUGGGCUUAGCGAGAGUACCUGAAGACAAACCAUCGGCUAACUCCGUGCCAGCAGCAGCGGUAUUACGGGGGAUGCGAGCGUUAACCGGGUUUAUUGGGUUUAAAGGGUGCGUAGGCGGAAUAUCAAGUCAGCGGUAAAAAUUCGGGGCUCAACCCCGUCGUGCCGUUGAAACUGAUGUUCUUGAGUGGGCGAGAAGUAUGCGGAAUGUGUGGUGUAGCGGUGAAAUGCAUAGAUAUCACGCAGAACUCCGAUUGCGAAGGCAGCAUACCGGCGCCCAACUGACGCUGAAGCACGAAAGCGUGGGUAUCGAACAGGAUUAGAUACCCGGGUAGUC
rnacentral:rRNA from 1 species